UACGUAGGUGGCGAGCGUUUGUCCGGAAUUACUGGGUGUAAAGCGCGUGUAGGCGGGAGGCCAAGUCUGCGGUGAAAUCGCUCGGCUCAACUGGGCGGGUCCGUGGAAACUGGUCACCUGGAGGACGGUAGAGGCGAGUGGAAUUCCCGGUGUAGUGGUGAAAUGCGUAGAGAUCGGGAGGAACACCAGUGGCGAAGGCGACACGCUGGGCCAUACCUGACGCUAAAGCGCGACAGCAUGGGGAGCAAACGGGG
rnacentral:rRNA from 1 species